GACGAACCGUGCGAACGUUGUUCGGAAUCACUGGGCUUAAAGGGCGCGUAGGCGGCCGGGUUGGUCGUGGGUGAAAUCCCCCAGCUUAACUGGGAACUGCCUACGAUACUGCCUGGCUCGAGGGAGGAAGGGCGGUCGGAACUGUCGGUGGAGCGGUGAAAUGCGUUGAUAUCGACAGGAACGCCGGUGGCGAAAGCGGACCGCUGGCCCUCUUCUGACGCUGAGGCGCGAAAGCCAGGGAGUGAACGGG
rnacentral:rRNA from 1 species